UAGAGGAAGUAAAAGUCGUAACAAGGUCUCCGUUGGUGAACCAGCGGAGGGAUCAUUACUGAGUUUACGCUCUACAACCCUUUGUGAACAUACCUAUAACUGUUGCUUCGGCGGGUAGGGUCUCCGCGACCCUCCCGGCCUCCCGCCUCCGGGCGGGUCGGCGCCCGCCGGAGGAUAACCAAACUCUGAUUUAACGACGUUUCUUCUGAGUGGUACAAGCAAAUAAUCAAAACUUUUAACAACGGAUCUCUUGGUUCUGGCAUCGAUGAAGAACGCAGCGAAAUGCGAUAAGUAAUGUGAAUUGCAGAAUUCAGUGAAUCAUCGAAUCUUUGAACGCACAUUGCGCCCGCCAGCAUUCUGGCGGGCAUGCCUGUUCGAGCGUCAUUUCAACCCUCAAGCUCUGCUUGGUGUUGGGGCCCUACAGCUGAUGUAGGCCCUCAAAGGUAGUGGCGGACCCUCUCGGAGCCUCCUUUGCGUAGUAACUUUACGUCUCGCACUGGGAUCCGGAGGGACUCUUGCCGUAAAACCCCCAAUUUUCCAAAGGUUGACCUCGGAUCAGGUAGGAAUACCCGCUGAACUUAAGCAUAUCAAUAAGCGG
rnacentral:rRNA from 1 species